rnacentral:rRNA from 1 species
AUGGUUUUGGUAUCCGCCCCCGUCGGCCCUCGUCCUGUCUAUGAUUCGGAUGUGGAGGUGGUUGAACCGGAAAUUCUAACCGACCCUAUUGUCGAGAGGUUAAAUUUAGUUGAAGAAGAAAACAAUUACUUGAAGGAAAAAAUAAAAAAAAUUGAAGAGGAGAAGAUGAUAUUGGAGUUGCAUGUUGCGGAUGUCGUCGAUGAUCACAAGAUCAAGAUGGAUGCAAUGCGCUUGAAGAUUAGAAAGCUUAGAAAAUAUGCCAUUCAUACCGAGGCUUGGUAUCAUUAUGCCGUUGGAUCAAUUGUUACCUUGGUUGCGAUUAUGAUCGCAUUUGUUUUCGCAUUGAAAUGUUUUACAUAA